rnacentral:RNase_P_RNA from 1 species
CCAGAGGGCCGGGCGGCCGCGGCGGGGACUUGUCCCCGGCGAGGAAAGUCCGGGCUCCACGGAACAACGGUGCCGGGUAACUCCCGGCCGGUCUUGCGAAAGCGGGGCCGAGGGACAGUGCCACAGAAAACAUACCGCCCGGCUUCGGACGGGUAAGGUCGAAAGGGUGCGGCAAGAGCGCACCGCGUCUUUGGCAACAAAGGCGGCACGGUAAACCCCACCGGGUGCAAGACCGAAUAGGGGCGGCACAUGAGCUUGUUCCGGCUCGUCGCCCGGGUUGGUUGCUUGACCCCGUGCGCAAGUGCGGGGCUAGACGAAUGGCCGCUUAUCCCCGGUUAAGCCCGGGGUGGACAGAACCCGGCUUACAGGCCCUCUGGCUUU